CUGACAUACUUAUUACGCUCUAGCAGCACGUAAAUAUUGGUGUAGUGAAGUCUUAAACCCCAAUAUUAUUGUGCUGCUUUAGCGUGAUAGGGAUUGUGCAG